rnacentral:lncRNA from 1 species
AUGUCCUACUUCGGUGCUGAAGAAAAAAGACGAGCCAAGAGAGAGCUAGCCGGCCGAGUGCCCGGCAGUCUCCAAUGGCGAGCACCAUCGUUGAUCCGCAUGACAAGAUGAGGGGUAGAGACGCUGGGCGAGUGGAUCGAGUACCAUAGGCAAUUACUUUUUCCAUGCAUCAUAUAAGCUUGAUGAUUUUCUCAGGAAUUAACUGGGAAAUUCCACUGAUAGAAGAUUGUAUGUCCAAGUAUUUU